CUUCAGUGAACACCUGUAGUCGCUCUUGGUCGGACCACAGGGAGAUGGAAUCGCUUCCUGGACUCAUUCCUGUUACCUGUAUUCCAACAAGUUGUGACACACUGAGAGGUUAAAGCUGACAACUUCUCUUUGUAGAUGUUUCUACCCAAGAAGACAAUAUUUCACCCGCCAUGAAGGCUUCUGGAACCAUAUUCCUCCCAAGCAGCAAAAGCGGUCGAGACCCAGGGGCCGCCCGCGGCAGCUCACGACUCUCUCUCACAUCCCCACCGCUCUGUGGACCCCACGCAGCAGCAUCUGUCAGCUUGUCUGACGUCAUCUUUGUUCUGGGUCUCUUUGCCAGGUUGUGAGUUCCUGAGGAUACAUGAAGACUUUGCAGCACCCAGGCUCUUUCAGAAGCACGCCUCGGCUGUCUCUGAACACAACCCCCCCUUCACUGAGCAUCCAUGGACAUGGGGCACAGGAACGCAGGUGGCACAGCUGAAGCCUCACAGUAUUACCUAUGCAGGCUGAGAAAGAGUGCAAGCACAGAGACAGUCAAAAAACGUUAAGCACUGGGAAAGGAUACAAUUGCAGAGUUUGGGUGAUAAAGUGAUGUGUGUCACCUGGAAAUGCCAGUGUCCCAACUGAGCUCUGGUCACUAUGGGGAUUCCCCUGGGCGACAAGCACAGUGACCCAGAGGACUGUCCCAGGGUCCUAGGAGCACCUGGAACAACACAUCUGUUUCUGGACACUUCUCAGCUCACCUGAGAACUCACUACAACCUGAGACACAGAACACAAAGAACAGUCUUCAAGGGAUUCAACCAGCUCAUCAGGUUGAUUAAUAGCUGACAAGGACUCAAGGAGACACGAUAGCAAACAAGAGGUCUGCCAGAGAGGAAGUCUGCCAAAGGUGGCAGCCCUGUGGACAACUGAGAGCCUGCAGGGCACUCCUGGUCGGUAAGCUUACUCUGACCUCUUAAGCCACGGUGAAUCCACGUGGUAACCCCCAGGAGUCCCCCAGCUCCAACAGACUCCUCACACAUGCAGGAAGACCAGUGGAGCUGCAUCCGGCCCAGAAAGGCCAGCUCCGCCUUCCGCAUUCCCAAAGUUCUGUGCAUUGAAAGCCCCAAAAUGGUACCACCCCAGCCACAACGAAUACGCCUCAUGUCCAGAUUCAGUUUGUACACACCAUUCUCCGCUGAAAGGAAUCCGAGCUUUUUGGAUGAAUGAAUGGCCCCCCCUGCCUGGAAACGGAAAGUCUACGAUGAACCUAGGCCAUUUCUGUGCAAGAAAGCAAGGAAGUACUCAAAGACUAAAAUGGGCAUGUUCCAAAGACAUAAAAGGCGGCUUACAAAGGGCCUCAUUGGCCAAAUUUGGGACAAUUUGAACACAAAAAGACAAUGAUGGCAAUUUACUGUAAAGCACUGACUAAAUAAAAACCUGUGAGUCCAUAGUGACAUUCACACAGAGAGAUUCACUUGCCACCAUUAGAGGUGAUUAUGACACAAAUCCUUUUCUCUACAAUUCAGUCACUACACUUGGGUCUGUGAUGACAACUAAGGAUAGAAUUAGAAGAAUCACCAUUUUGCAACCCCUCCUUGCCCAGUGAAAUAAUCCAGGCAAGAAUCACCAAUGGAUACGCACGCACGCAGUGCCAAAUUAUCUCUCCACAGAUUAUGGGCAAAUUGCAAAGGGAAUCACAUAUCAUCCAGCAGAGUGAUCUGGCAUCACCAACUCAGGCCAGCGUUCAAAAUUAGUAUCACUGACAGUGGGACAACCUGGUGGGGUCUGAUGGUUUAAGAAGCACCCAGCAUUACCUGGCAACUGUUAAAACAAGCUUGAAUCUAAACAAGCAUUUGGAUCUGGCUUCCAGGGCACACAUAGACAAGAUAAACAACAUCACUAGGAAAUAAUAAGCCAAAUUCAGGAUGUGAGGCAUCCUCUAAAACAACUGGCCUUGAUCUAGAAAGAAAGAAAAGAAAAGAAAGAAAGAAAGAA